GAUGAACGCUAGCUACAGGCUUAACACAUGCAAGUCGAGGGGAAACGACAUCGAAAGCUUGCUUUUGAUGGGCGUCGACCGGCGCACGGGUGAGUAACGCGUAUCCAACCUGCCCACCACUUGGGGAUAACCUUGCGAAAGUAAGACUAAUACCCAAUGAUAUCUCUAGAAGACAUCUGAAAGGGAUUAAAGAUUUAUCGGUGAUGGAUGGGGAUGCGUCUGAUUAGCUUGUUGGCGGGGUAACGGCCCACCAAGGCUACGAUCAGUAGGGGUUCUGAGAGGAAGGUCCCCCACAUUGGAACUGAGACACGGUCGAAACUCCUACGGGAGGAAGCAGUGAGGAAUAUUGGUAAAUGGACGAGAGUCUGAACCAGCCAAGUAGCGUGCAGGAUGACGGCCGUAUGGGUUGUAAACUGCUUUUAUAAGGGAAUAAAGUGAGUCUCGUGAGACUUUUUGCAUGUACCUUAUGAAUAAGGACCGGCUAAUUCCGUGCCAGCCGCCGCCGUAA
rnacentral:rRNA from 1 species